rnacentral:rRNA from 1 species
AUUGAACGCUGGCGGCAGGCCUAACACAUGCAAGUCGAGCGGAGCGGCGGACGGGUGAGUAAUGCCUAUGAAUCUGCCUGGUAGUUGUGGAUAACGUCCGGAAACGGGCGCUAAUACAGCAUACUAUCAAAUGAGCCUAGGUCGGAUUAGCUAGUUGGUGGGGUAAAGGCCUACCAAGGCGACGAUCCGUAACUGGUCUGAGAGGAUGAUCAGUCACAAUGGAACUGAGACACGGUCCAGACUCCUACGGGAGGCAGCAGUGGGGAAUAUUGGACAAUGGGCGAAAGCCUGAUGCAGCCAUGCCGCGUGUGUGAAGAAGGCCUUCGGAUUGUAAAGGACUUUAAGUUGGGAGGCGUUACCAACAGAAUAAGCACCGGCUAACUUCGUGCCAGCAGCCGCGGUAAUUC